ACUGACCUUGAAGUUUCAGGUUUUCUGAAACCAAGUUAACAUCGCACGCUAAAGCCCUCGAUGUAGACAGUAAGGUUGAAAUCUUAUAAAACCUGUGUGUUUUGACAUUAAUCAGUCCAGUAUUUGCUCUUAUAUCUAUAUGGUGAUCAACUGUAUUUGACUAGGGCAGCCAGAGGUAUAACACCAAGGAAAUAGUCUACUUCUUCCUGUAUCUUAUAACUUAGUUUGACACUAGCACCACUAUCUGGUAUCUCAAGGGACUGUAAAAAUAGUCGUACACCUUUUAGAUUAAAUUUAAACAGUAGCUGUACACAGACUGCAGUAUAUUCAGAUCAAAGCCUCCAUGCAGCGGAGCUCUGUAGUGCAUGGUACCUGGUGGCAGAUUUCAUCCCACUGUCUAUGCAGCAGCUCAACUCGCUCCUGCAGGACAGAGAGGUCUUCAGCGCUGAUGGUACAAGACAGCGACUCUCUCAGCACAGACAGGCAGACGUUGGCACGUUUCCACCGCUCUUGUAUAUCAGUGAGCUCCGCCUGCAGGAGCAUCUCCGCCCGGCAGUCAGCCGACAGGAGCAGUUGUUUCCCGGCCUCCACUGUCAGGAUGUAGCUGCCCUGCUGACGCUGCAGCACUUUUUCCUUCAGCUGUACCCGGAAGCAAAGUCACUCUGAUCAAAUCAUUCUUAAGUGCAUGAGAUGGUUAGUUUCUAAUCAAAACAUGAGGAUUCAUCAGUAUUUUAAAUAAAAUCUGUCAGUUUCA